GAUGAACGCUGGCGGCGUGCCUAAUACAUGCAAGUCGAGCGAACGGACGAGAAGCUUGCUUCUCUGAUGUUAGCGGCGGACGGGUGAGUAACACGUGGAUAACCUACCUAUAAGACUGGGAUAACUUCGGGAAACCGGAGCUAAUACCGGAUAAUAUUUUGAACCGCAUGGUUCAAAAGUGAAAGGCGGUCUUGCUGUCACUUAUAGAUGGAUCCGCGCUGCAUUAGCUAGUUGGUAAGGUAACGGCUUACCAAGGCAACGAUGCAUAGCCGACCUGAGAGGGUGAUCGGCCACACUGGAACUGAGACACGGUCCAGACUCCUACGGGAGGCAGCAGUAGGGAAUCUUCCGCAAUGGGCGAGAGCCUGACGGAGCAACGCCGCGUGAGUGAUGAAGGUCUUCGGAUCGUAAAACUCUGUUAUUAGGGAAGAACAUAUGUGUAAGUAACUGUGCACAUCUUGACGGUACCUAAUCAGAAAGCCACGGCUAACUACGUG
rnacentral:rRNA from 1 species